GGCAGGCCUAACACAUGCAAGUCGAGCGGCAGCGACAUAAACAAUCCUUCGGGUGCGUUUAUGGGCGGCGAGCGGCGGACGGGUGAGUAAUGCUUGGGGAUCUGCCCGGUUGUGGGGGACAACAGUUGGAAACGACUGCUAAUACCGCAUAAUCCCUUCGGGGCAAAGUAGGGGACCUUCGGGCCUUACGCGAUCGGAUGAACCCAAGUGAGAUUAGCUAGUUGGUGGGGUAAUGGCUCACCAAGGCGACGAUCCCUAGCUGGUCUGAGAGGAUGAUCAGCCACACUGGAACUGAGACAC
rnacentral:rRNA from 1 species